rnacentral:rRNA from 1 species
AUUGAACGCUGGCGGCAUGCCUUACACAUGCAAGUCGAACGGCAGCACGGGAGCAAUCCUGGUGGCGAGUGGCGAACGGGUGAGUAAUAUAUCGGAACGUGCCCAGUAGUGGGGGAUAGCCCGGCGAAAGCCGGAUUAAUACCGCAUACGACCUGUGGGUGAAAGCGGGGGAUCGCAAGACCUCGCGCUAUUGGAGCGGCCGAUAUCAGAUUAGCUAGUUGGUGGGGUAAAGGCCUACCAAGGCGACGAUCUGUAGCUGGUCUGAGAGGACGACCAGCCACACUGGGACUGAGACACGGCCCAGACUCCUACGGGAGGCAGCAGUGGGGAAUUUUGGACAAUGGGCGCAAGCCUGAUCCAGCCAUGCCGCGUGUGGGAAGAAGGCCUUCGGGUUGUAAACUGCUUUGACAGGGGCCAAAUACUCAUGCGUGAGGACUUGAGAGUACCUGUAGAAUAAGCGCCGGCUAACUCCGUGCCAGCAGCCGCGGUAAUC